ACUCCUACGGGAGGCAGCAGUAGGGAAUCUUCCACAAUGGGCGCAAGCCUGAUGGAGCAACACCGCGUGAGUGAAGAAGGGUUUCGGCUCGUAAAGCUCUGUUGUUAAAGAAGAACACGUAUGAGAGUAACUGUUCAUACGUUGACGGUAUUUAACCAGAAAGUCACGGCUAACUACGUGCCAGCAGCCGCGGUAAUACGUAGGUGGCAAGCGUUAUCCGGAUUUAUUGGGCGUAAAGAGAGUGCAGGCGGUUUUCUAAGUCUGAUGUGAAAGCCUUCGGCUUAACCGGGAGAAGUGCAUCGGAAACUGGAUAACUUGAGUGCAGAAGAGGGUAGUGGAACUCCAUGUGUAGCGGUGGAAUGCGUAGAUAUAUGGAAGAACACCAGUGGCGAAGGCGGCUACCUGGUCUGCAACUGACGCUGAGACUCGAAAGCAUGGGGUAGCGAACAGGAUUAGAUACCCUGGUAGGAUAGCG
rnacentral:rRNA from 1 species